GGGGAUGUAGCUCAGUGGUAGAGCCCAUGCCUAGCAUGAGGCCCUGGAUUCCAUCCCCAGUACUGCCA
rfam:Ictidomys tridecemlineatus contig052519, whole genome shotgun sequence.